GUGCUUGCACUAAAUGAAACUAGAUACAAGCGAGCGGCGGACGGGUGAGUAACACGUAGGUAACCUGCCCAAGAGACUGGGAUAACACCUGGAAACAGAUGCUAAUACCGGAUAACAACACUAGACGCAUGUCUAGAGUUUGAAAGAUGGUUCUGCUAUCACUCUUGGAUGGACCUGCGGUGCAUUAGCUAGUUGGUAAGGUAACGGCUUACCAAGGCAAUGAUGCAUAGCCGAGUUGAGAGACUGAUCGGCCACAUUGGGACUGAGACACGGCCCAAACUCCUACGGGAGGCAGCAGUAGGGAAUCUUCCACAAUGGACGAAAGUCUGAUGGAGCAACGCCGCGUGAGUGAAGAAGGGUUUCGGCUCGUAAAGCUCUGUUGGUAGUGAAGAAAGAUAGAGGUAGUAACUGGCCUUUAUUUGACGGUAAUUACUUAGAAAGUCACGGCUAACUACGUGCCAGCAGCCGCGGUAAUACGUAGGUGGCAAGCGUUGUCCGGAUUUAUUGGGCAUAAAGCGAGUGCAGGCGGUUCAAUAAGUCUGAUGUGAAAGCCUUCGGCUCAACCGGAGAAUUGCAUCAGAAACUGUUGAACUUGAGUGCAGAAGAGGAGAGUGGAACUCCAUGUGUAGCGGUGGAAUGCGUAGAUAUAUGGAAGAACACCAGUGGCGAAGGCGGCUCUCUGGUCUGCAACUGACGCUGAGGCUCGAAAGCAUGGGUAGCGAACAGGAUUAGAUACCCUGGUAGUUCCAUGCCGUAAAACGAUGAGUGCU
rnacentral:rRNA from 1 species